GACGAACGCUGGCGGCGUGCUUAACACAUGCAAGUCGAACGAGAAUCUAUGGAAAGAGGAUUCGUCCAAUUGAAAUAGAGGACAGUGGCGGACGGGUGAGUAACGCGUGGGUAACCUGCCCCAGACCGGGGGAUAACAGUCGGAAACGACUGCUAAUACCGCAUAAGCGCACAGUGCCGCAUGGCACGGUGUGAAAAACUCCGGUGGUCUGGGAUGGACCCGCGUCCGAUUAGUUAGUUGGCGGGGUAACGGCCCACCAAGACCGCGAUCGGUAGCCGACCUGAGAGGGUGACCGGCCACAUUGGGACUGAGACACGGCCCAGACUCCUACGGGAGGCAGCAGUGGGGAAUAUUGCACAAUGGAGGAAACUCUGAUGCAGCGACGCCGCGUGAGCGAAGAAGUAUUUCGGUAUGUAAAACUCUAUCAGCAGGGAAGAUAAUGACGGUACCUGACUAAGAAGCACCGGCUAAAUACGUG
rnacentral:rRNA from 1 species